rnacentral:ncRNA from 2 species
AAAGAACUUCGGGGCAAGGUGCAAUUCCUGACCGGCAGUAAAAGUCUGCGAACGGGGAGGUCUCCCUCUCCGCCGAGCUGGUGAAAUUCCAGCACCGACGGUGAACCGCUUUUUCUCUUUUGGAAAAAAGGCGGCAAAGUCCGGAUGAUAGAAGAUUCUU